AACGCACAUUGCGCCUCUUGGUAUUCCUUGAGGCAUGCCUGUUCGAGCGCCGUUUGACUUCUUGGAGUAUUACUUUGCGUUGGGCUUGUUCUUCACGGAACUCUCCCUAAAUAAAUUUGCCCAAGUUUUCGGAAUGAAACAGUGAAAGUGUUUCUCCCCCAAAAAACAACGGCACGUCAAACGAUCGCAUGGCCUCGGAUCAGGCAGGGCUACCCGCUGAACUUAA
rnacentral:misc_RNA from 1 species